UCUCUCCAUCUCUCAAUAAUAAACAAACGUUAAAAAAAUUAAAAAAAUAUAUAUAUAUAUAUACUGGACAGGGCUCUUGCCUCUAUUUACAGGACAGCCCCCAUGUUUGCAUCUCCAGCCGGGACCUCUGUCUUGAAUUCCACACCUGUUCAAUCAACCUUGACAUCACCGCCUGGGUGUUUAACUGCCGCGUUUUAUUCAGCAGGCUCAACACGGGACAAAGCCGCUCCUCCCACUACCUUCCUCAUUGCACAAAAGGCAACUCGGUGCUUUCAGUCACUCAGACUAAAAAACCUUGGGGUCAGCUUGCACCUGUGGGGUGCAAUUCAUCCAAUUCAUCAGCAAAUCCUGGCGGUUCUAUCUUCCACAUGUAUCCAGAAGCCGGCUGCUUCUCACUUUCCGGUAACACAUAAAUCAGAUCACAUCACCUCUCUGCUCAGAACCGCCCGAUGGCUCCAUGUUACUAAAGCCAAAGCCGGAGUCCUCACCUCCCAACUAUUCUCUCCAUUUAACCUGCUCCGGGAAUCAGCGGACCUCCUUGCUACUCCCUCCACUAUGCUGGCCACGCUCCUGGCCUGGAAUGCUCUUUUCUGCAGAUAUCUGGUCUGCUUGCUUGCUCACCCACCGCCUUGAGAUCUUCUUGGUGACGCCUUUCCUGACCAUCCUACUUAGAAAGGCAGCCCCCUCUCCCCCCCUCCACCAUCUCCUCCCUCCCCCUUUCCCUUCCCUGCUUUAUUUUUUCCUUAGGACUCCGUUACCACCCAGCACACGAUAUGUUUUAUUCACUGAAUAUGAUUAUCAUUGACCAUUAGAAAGGAAGCUCCAGGAGGGCAGGAAUUUUUGUGUGGUGAGGUCUCUCCAGCUCCUAUGACGGUGCCCAGCACAGGUAAGUGCUCAAUAAAUGUUUGGUAACCUCCCAGACGGACUGGUAAGUGACAAACGCAAGUUGCAGGGCAACAAGAAUAGUGUGAUCUAAUUUAUGUAAAAGAACACCCACUAGGCACCAUUCUAUUCUGCAUAUAUGCAUGCAAAUGGAUGCAAAUGCACGGAGCUGUCUUGGGAAGGAUCACACCAAAGCCAAGGCAGCCCGGUGAUAACUAGGGUUACUUCCCAGUGGGGGGGGGGAUGGGGAAGGGGUGUCAAGGAAGACUUUAGUCAUAUCUGUAAUGUUUGCCUUUUUUCCCAAGCAAACUGUAUUCCUGUAUCACUUUUGUGGGAUUUAAAAGAAAUAAAAAUGAAAUCCAUUAAAAAUGAUAAUGUGGCAACGGCUUCCAGGGAGUAAACAGAAGAGGUUUGAAGGACUCAUCUAAGUGCCAAAAGCCAUUCUUAGGGUUCCCAUCUGCGGAUGGCCUCCAGGACUGCGCCCCUUCCUGCUCCCACCCCUCCCCCAACCCCGUGCACUUGACACAUGAUGUUUAUGUAGCACCUACCCUUUGUUGGGUUGUUUUUAUUGUUUGUUUGAGAGAGAGAGAGAGAGACAGAGAGAGCUGGAGAGAGGGGCAGAGGGAGAGAGAGAGAGAGAGAAAGAAUCCCAAGCAGGCUCCACACUCAGUGCGGAGCCCAACACCGGGCUCGAUCCCAUGACCCUGGGAUCAUGACCUGAACCGAAAUCAAGAGUCAGAUGCUUAACCGACUGAGACGCCAAAGCGCCCCUUGCUGGGUUGUUUUAAGAGCUGGGGAUAGAGAAAUAGAGCAUUUUGCCUCACAGAGUUGACUUCUUAUUGGGGGAGCCAAGGCCCCCCAGCUGCUCAGCCAGGCCUCUGUGGGAUGGAAGGUGUGGAUCCCCCAGCUAUAGAAACAGUGUCCCUGUGGGCUGAUAUCCUGGGCAAGGCUGCCUUAGGCCUCCUAAGACUUGUCCUGGGAAUCUGUCCUUGUAGACAUGGAAGGAGCCACGUCCUUCUCACUUGACUAAGGGAUUGGAAUAACACCAUCACACAGAUUGGAGUUAACAAAUAGCAAACCUACAGGGAGUCUUUCUCAAGCAUUCUCGCCCACCCCCGCCCCAGGCCCGGCGUGGGGGAGGCUCCAUUCUGCUGCCUGAAGACAACAGAUCCGACAGGAUGGGGCUUCUAGCCUCUGGCGACAUGUCCCCCGCCUCUUGUUCUCAUCAGUGGGGCAAGAUCACUCAGGAGCAGGCCCCUUAGCUCUUUGUAACCGGGGCUCAGGAGUACGAGACCACCUGGCUCCGGGGGUCCCAAACAGACCAGGCUCGGCCGCUCUGAAAUCCAAAGGCAGAGCAGGGAGUGGUGGGGAGACGAGAAAGGAAUUUAUUUCAGUGAGGCAAACACCAGGGUGACAGUGACUCAAGGACUGUCUCCGAAGUGCUGAAAAUCCUUCCAGGUUCAUAUAAGGAAAAUGUGGGACGAAGGUCAGUGGGUAUGUGCAGGUGGGCAAGAAAGGUCAGGUCGAUCACCGUCUCGGGGUCAGUGACUGGUGGGGGUCUUGGUGGCUCGGGGCAGCCCUCGCUGCUUGAGGGGGUAGUUUCAGUUCCCAUCAGGGGAUGCUCUGCCCCCGGGGUGGUUUGCCUGAGCUAAGGGAUAAGCCGGAAAGAAUUUAAUCAGUUAAGGAGUACCGACUGAGGUCAAAAUGGAGGUAGGUGACAUCCUCUUGCAAAUCUCCACUGUCAAAACACCGUUCCGUCUCUACAGAAGGAAAAGGGACUAGGGUUAUUCCCUCUGUAGCUACUCCCCUCUGUCCCCCCAGCCCAACAUCUUUUGUCUUUAACUGGAGUUAUUUAAGGCGGUGGUUUGGGCCAUUUGGGGGACUUACUCAGUUUUCCUGGGUCUCUCCCACGUACACAAGAGGGAUACAUGUUAUUAAACUUUUGCUUGUUUUGUCUUUUUAUUACAGGGGCGUCUGAGCCAUGUAUGCAGAAGAGUAGAGGGAAGAUUAUUUUUCCUCCCUCCACGAUCCUUGGAGCUCCUUUCUAUCCUUCAGAUGGGAUGCUGCCUGAUUCAUGCAUCAUUGAAGAAACCCGAUUUGAUCUUUAAAGGUUGGGACGGCACGAGUGUCACCAGGUUGGGACGGCACGAGUCUCACCACCGUGCCCUACGGCCCCAGCUCCCGAGAGGGGAAGAGGCUGCGGUGGGAAUCAGUAUUGCGCCCCUUCGGCCAUUUCCGGGCCCUAAAGUGACAUUUUUCUGCUCAGUUCAAUGUCAAAGAGGAAGGUUCACAUGCUGUUUUCUCCAGAGCCUGGACUGCCCUCCUACCCACUCCUCCCACUCAGCUCGGCUUGUCACUUCCUUCCUUCAACCAGCACCUCGAACUGCCAUCCUGAUACAGCCUCAACUCAACGGCCGCUGCCCCCCAGGCACUCUUCCACUCCCCUCUUUGCCCACCCCUGCGCAGCGGCCCGUGGAAGAUUCUCGUGCUUCUCGAGGCAGCCCUCGCCUGUGCCGUCUGUCCCUCCCGAGCUUGCUGGACCCCGUGUGCCGACAGCGCCCUUCACAGGGGUCUUGACUCCUAUCGGGUCCGCUCUGUGAGCCUGGCUGGCUGCCAGCUGGACGGCUCUGAAGCCAACUCUAGGGAGGGAGUCCGGCCAAGGGCUGGCCUGGAUCACUGCUGAGAGAGAAGCAGCCGCCAGUCCCCACAGAGACGUUGCUCUCCAAACUUGUGAGUGGACGUGUCUCAGGAACUUGCUACCCACAUUCCUCGUACUUCGAAGACUGGCUCAAAACGGGCAGCCGGGGAGAGAGGCUAAGAACUCCUUGUGAUCGCAGCCCUGGGGCUGUCUGCCCGUCACCAGCUGUGUGACCUGGGGCGAUUCCUUAACCUCUCGGAGCCUCUGUUUUCUCAUCUGAAAAAAAAAAAAAAUGGACACGAAAGGAACUAUUUUUAUUGCCCCAUAGGCCUUUUGUGGGGCUCAGACGAGAUCAUGGACAGGAACGCUGUUGGUAAGCAUUUUGGUGCCGUCCUGGUGCUGCUGUGUGGUGUGGAUGCACCAAUGCAAAUAAGACACAAAAACACUGAUUAAAACAUGGUGUGUGUGUGUGCGCGUGAACAGACAAAACUUGCCACGGAUUCGCCUCUGAAGGAUGUCGACCUUCAAAGUAAAACAGCUACCUUUUAUACCAGUGAAAUGAAUUUAUUUGGAAACAGAGUCACUACAA